UUACGGCCAUAUCACGCUGAAAUGCCAGUUCCCAUCUGAUCACCGAAGUUAAACAACGUCAACCCUGGUUUGUAAUUAGAUGGGUGACCACUUGA